UACGUAGGCAGCAAGCGUUGUUCGGAGUUACUGGGCGUAAAGGGUGUGUAGGCGGUUCUUUAAGUUUGGUGUGAAAUCUCCCGGCUCAACCGGGAGGGUGCGCCGAAUACUGAGGGACUCGAGUGCGGGAGAGGAAAGUGGAAUUCCUGGUGUAGCGGUGAAAUGCGUAGAUAUCAGGAGGAACACCGGUGGUGUAGACGGCUUUCUGGACCGUAACUGACGCUGAGGCACGAAAGCGUGGGGAUCAAACAGG
rnacentral:rRNA from 1 species